GAUGAACGCUGGCGGUAUGCUUAACACAUGCAAGUCGAACGGGAUAUCUUCGGAUAUUUAGUGGCGGACGGGUGAGUAACGCGUGAGAACAUGCCCUUAGGUUCGGGACAACAGUUGGAAACGACUGCUAAUACCGAAUGUGCCGAGAGGUGAAAGAUUAAUUGCCUAGGGAUUGGCUCGCGUCAGAUUAGCUAGUUGGUAGAGUAACGGUUUACCAAGGCGACGAUCUGAACUGGUCUGAGAGGAUGACCAGUCACACUGGGACUGAGACACGGCCCAGACUCCUACGGGAGGCAGCAGUGGGGAA
rnacentral:rRNA from 1 species